ACAUUUUCAAAAAACCGCUUAACAAAUGCCCUGCUAGGCUACAGCGUAUGAUGUUAUGCUGAAGAGGACCCUAGUUGGUCCUAGAACGACCUGAGGUAGAGGGGUUUUAGUCGGUAGGUCCGAGGACUUCUUCCUCGGGAAUCCGACACUACCCAGUCGUACGGACGGCUGGGUGUCUUCUGAAGAUUUCCCCUCUUCCACGAAA
rfam:Agrilus planipennis Contig73777, whole genome shotgun sequence.